CGCCUCUUGAUAAAUAUAAGAGGUCCAGCCUGCCCAGUGACCUAGUUCAACGGCCGCGGUAUCCUAACCGUGCGAAGGUAGCGUAAUCACUUGUUCUUUAAAUGAGGACUAGUAUGAAUGGCACCACGAGGGUUACACUGUCUCCUUUUUUCAAUCAGUGAAACUAAUUUUCCCGUGAAGAAGCGGGAAUUUUCUUAUAAGACGAGAAGACCCUAUGGAGCUUUAAACAAAUUAACACUUGCUGCCCAAAAUGACUCUCCCAGGAACACACACACAGCAUAGCACGAUGAUUAAUAGUUUUUGAUUGGGGUGAUCACGGAGUAAAAAACAACCUCCAUGCCGAAAGGGCUCUUCCCUGAGCACAAAGCCACAACUUUAAGCACUAAAAAAAUUAACGUUUAUUGACCCAAUAUUUUGAUCAACGAACCAAGUUACCCUAGGGAUAACAGCGCAAUCCACUUCAAGAGCCCCUAUCGACAAGUGGGUUUACGACCUCGAUGUUGGAUCAGGGUAUCCUAGUGGUGCAGCCGCUACUAAUGGUUCGUUUGUUCAACGAUUAAAACCCU
rnacentral:rRNA from 1 species